rnacentral:rRNA from 1 species
GACGAACGCUGGCGGCGUGCUUAACACAUGCAAGUCGAACGCUGAAGCUCAGCUUUUGUUGGGUGGAUGAGUGGCGAACGGGUGAGUGACACGUGAGUAACCUGCCUCCUUCUUUGGGAUAACGCCCGGAAACGGGUGCUAAUACUGGAUAUUCACUGGUCUUCGCAUGGGGGUUGGUGGAAAGGGUUUUUCUGGUGGGGGAUGGGCUCGCGGCCUAUCAGCUUGUUGGUGGGGUGAUGGCCUACCAAGGCUUUGACGGGUAGCCGGCCUGAGAGGGUGACCGGGCACAUUGGGACUGAGAUACGGCCCAGACUCCUACGGGAGGCAGAAGUGGGGAAUAUUGCACAAUGGGCGCAAGCCUGAUGCAGCGACGCCGCGUGAGGGAUGGAGGCCUUCGGGUUGUGAACCUCUUUCGCUCAUGGUCAAGCCGCAACAAUGGUUGUGGUGAGGGUAGUGGGUAAAGAAGCGCCGGCUAACUACGUG